ensembl:misc_RNA Metazoa_SRP Metazoan signal recognition particle RNA
GCUGGGCAUUGUGGCGCAUGCCUGUAAUCCCAGCUACUUGGGAGGCUGAGACAGGAGAAUCACUUGAACCUGGGAGGCGGAGGCUGCAGUGAGCUGAGAUGGUGCCACUGCACUCCAGCCUGGGUGACAAAGUGAGACUCAGUCUCAA